ACUUCAUUUAAAUCUAGUAUAACCAUCACAGAACUCACUUAAUAUUUGCAAACGAAAGCUGAACAACCAAAUGUGGUUAGUACGCAUGCUUACAACCUGUCUAUAAUGUUUAAACACUGGUGUGCUUGCAGUGCAGUUGAGAUGCUAGGUGUGUUAUCUUCUAUCAGCCAAAUUUACAUAGUUUGGUUUCUUUGCCAUGAUUUCUUACAGGUUAUACGUAGUACUCCCUCCGUCCCAUAAUAUAAGAGCGUUUAGUGUAAAAAACGCUCUUAUAUUAUGUGACGGAGGGAGUACAAUUCAAGCUCAGGUGGUAUGGGUAUUUGGCCUUGUGAAUUAUCUGAAAUUGAAAAUCCAUCAGUGACGAUCAUCUGUGUGCGGCUGCAGAGAGUGCCAUUGUAUCACGUAAAUUUAGGACACCCUCGCGGCCUUGCCUCACCUUGCAAACAUCAAGUACUUGACAGUUUGCUAUACUAAUUAUCAGUCUAUCUUCUAAAUGUGGGAAGCCAAGAAAAGGAGAGCUUCCAGGCAGGAAGAGAAGGUGAAGAAAGGUAUUCCUGCUCUGCUGUGACCAUUGCCAGGCGAAUGCGGCAUGAGCAGGAGCAAAUUUCCUCGGAAAUCACCAAGGUCUAACAUGCACAAUUCAGGCUCAGGCGGGUGAAGAUCAUUUGUGUGCGGCUGCAGAGGGUGCUAUUCUAUCAGCCAAGAACAGGGAUUCCUGCUGCUAUGAAACUGUCGUUGUGGUGCCGAGCAGGAGCAUAUUUCCUCGGAUUUCACCAAGCUGGAUGAUAUCUGUCAAGAAAUAUAGACUGGUUAGGUGAAGCGUAUUAUGCAGACCUAAAAGUCAAGGGGGGCUGAGAAUUCAAGACCUUGAGAUAAAAAAUAUUGCUCUUCUCAGCAAGUGGGUUUACAAACUACUCUCUGAGAAUGGGGUAUGGCAAGAGAUCAUUCGCAACAAGUAUGUGGGAUCCAAUGCCAUUUCUCAAGUUCAUUGGAAACCCGGGGAUUCACAUUUUUGGAGUGGCGUGAUGAAGGCCAAGGAAUUCUUUUUCCAAUUUGGGACCUUCUCGGUUAGGGAUGGUUCUCAGGUUCGAUUCUGGGAAGACACCUGGUUAGGGAACAACCCACUAAUGGUGCAAUACCCGAGCUUGUACAUGAUUGUCAGACAUAAAUUUGUCACGAUCAAAUAAGUUUUAGGACAACAAAACCCUGAUAUAUCUUUCCGUAGGGACCUUCUUGGCCCUCGCCUGGCAGCAUGGAAUGAAUUACUCACUCGUCUGGAGGACAUUCAACUGUCAGGUGAGCCGGACGUCUUUCGAUGGAACUUGCAUCAGAAUGGCAAAUUUUCGGUCAAAUCUAUGUAUGAUGCAAUGGUUCAUUGUGAUGUUCCAGUUGAUAACAGGAAAUUGUGGAAGCUCAAAAUUCCUCUAAGAGUGAAGAUUUUCCUCUGGUUUCUACAUAGAGGAGUCAUCCUAACUAGAGAUAAUCUGGCACGACGAAACUGGCAUGGUUCUAAGACGUGUCUUUUGCCAACAUGACGAGACUAUUAGACACUUAUUCUUUGAGUGUAAAUUCGCUCGGGCAGUUUGGGCCAUAGUUCAAGUAGCUUCUAAUUUAUACCCACCACGUAGUGCACGGAAUAUGUUCGGCAACUGGGUGCGGGGUAUUGAUAAACAAUUUUUUGCACACAUUCUCGUGGGAGCGGCGGUCUUAUGCUGGGCAUUGUGGCUUACCAGGAAUGAUGUGAUCUUUAAUAACAAAUGUGUCUCAUCUCCU